CAGUCGCCGCGGGAAUACGGGGGGGGCAAGUGUUAUUCGGAAUGACUGGGCGUAAAGGGCACGUAGGCGGUGAAAAGGGUGGAAAGUGAAAGUCGCCAAAACACUGGCGGGGUGCUUUCUUGACCAUUUCACUUGAGUGAGAUAGGGGAGAGUGGAAUUUCGUGUGGAGGGAUCAAAUCCUAAGAUAUACGAAGGAAUGCCAACCGCGAAGGCAGCUCUCUGGGUCCCCACUGACGCUGGGGUGCGAAAGCAUGGGGAGCAAACAGGAUCAGAUACCCCCGUAGUCCCUGUCUCUUAUACC
rnacentral:rRNA from 1 species